AUGCCGCCGCUGGCGAGGGCAUCACAGCGAAGCCGGUAUUCCAAGAAAAGGGCGCCGUCGGAGAGGGACUGGGCGGAGCUGCACCAGGACCUGAUCUCGUGCAUCCUCCACAGGCUGGACCAGGCCGAGCUCCUGAUCGGCGGCGUGGCAGGCGUGUGCCGUUCAUGGCGCCGCACCACCCGAGAGGAGCCGGAGCUGUGGCGCCGCAUCGACCUGCGCGGCGGCCUGUGGUUCGUCCCACCGUUUCGUCGCGAGUGGAGCCUCGAGACAAUGGUGUGGGAGGCCCUGUGGCUCGGCGCCGGCCAGUGCGAGGCCUUCCUGUGCGAGCGCGUCGACGACCACAUCCUCCUCAUCCUCGCCGAGCGGGUACCCUUGCUAAAGAGCCUUCAUCUCAUUAGCUCAUCUGUCUCCGAUCAAGGAUUUGAAGAGGCGAUCAAGAUGUUACCUCUGCUUGAGGAGCUCGAGAUUUCCCACUGUUCAAGGAUAGAUAGUAUGUGCUGA
rnacentral:rRNA from 1 species